GGAAGGUGGCUCAGGGGUAGAGUGCUUGCCUUGCAUGCAAGAGGCCCUGGGUUUGAUUCCAUAGCCCCA
rfam:Dipodomys ordii contig_13045, whole genome shotgun sequence.